GGAAGUAAAGUCGUAACAAGGUCUCCGUUGGUGAACCAGCGGAGGGAUCAUUACAGAGUUGCAAAACUCCCAAACCAUUGUGAACGUUACCUAUCCCGUUGCUUCGGCGGGCGGCCCGGGCCCCGCGCCCGGCGCCCCCCGGCCCCCCGUGGGCGCCCGCCGGAGGUAAACCAAACCCUUGAAUUGCAUGGCCUCUCUGAGUCUUCUGUACUGAAUAAGUCAAAACUUUCAACAACGGAUCUCUUGGUUCUG
rnacentral:misc_RNA from 1 species